rnacentral:misc_RNA from 1 species
GUACAUUCGUAGUGCUUACGCACAAUGAUAAUUUCAUUACAUUCGAGUGUGUGUAAAAAUCCUCUGCCAGCCGAAGCUAGCAAGAGGCCAAAGGUUCACAGGGUAUUGGAUGAAAGUCACCAACGUGCACUUGCCGAAGCCGGCCAGCACUGAAGGCAACGAUUCGCAAUCAGUAAUGAUCCUUCCGCAGGUUCACCUACGGAAA